CUUUGCCUUCAAAAAUUUCUUACAGAGGAUUCACAGAUAACUCAACCCAUGGAAUUCACAAACAGACAUCCAAUUUUGUGUGGACACGUUCCCUAAAGGACAAGCAAUUUGGUAUCUUCAGGUUCGGCAUUGGCAUCAGCGGUGUCUCCUAUGGCAGCAAGAUAGUAAGAGACAAAAUGGC